AUUGAACGCUGGCGGAAUGCUUUACACAUGCAAGUCGAACGGCAGCACGGGUGCUUGCACCUGGUGGCGAGUGGCGAACGGGUGAGUAACAUAUCGGAACGUAUCCAAUAAUGGGGGAUAACUAAUCGAAAGGUUGGCUAAUACCGCAUACGCCCUACGGGGGAAAGCUAGGGACCUUCGGGCCUGGCGUUAAUGGAGCGGCCGAUAUCUGAUUAGCUAGUUGGUGGGGUAAUGGCCUACCAAGGCGACGAUCAGUAGCUGGUCCGAGAGGACGACCAGCCACACUGGAACUGAGACACGGUCCAGACUCCUACGGGAGGCAGCAGUGGGGAAUUUUGGACAAUGGGCGCAAGCCUGAUCCAGCCAUUCCGCGUGAGUGAAGAAGGCCUUCGGGUUGUAAAGCUCUUUCGUCCGGGAAGAAAUCGCAUUGGCUAAUACCUGAUGUGGAUGACGGUACCGGAAUAAGAAGCACCGGCUAACUACGUGCCAGCCGCCGCGGUAAAAC
rnacentral:rRNA from 1 species